GUGGAGUCCUCCAACUCUGUUCUUCUUUUAUGAGAGGGUCUGGUUGUUCUGGGUCCUGUGCCAGUACCAUAUGAAUUUUAGGAUCCGCUGGUUGGUUUCUAGAAAAAGCCAGUGGUGGUUCUGACAGGGGUUGCCUCGAAUCUGUAGACCAUUGAAUCUGCAGCUGGGAAACAUUGUCAUCCUGACAAUACUGUCUUCCAAUGGUGAACAUGCGGUGUUUUCCCAUGUAUUUAGGUCUUUAAUUCCUUCCGAUAAUAAAACCACAGGUCUUUUUGAAAGCCGCUUGAGUGCAUCAGAACAGCUGAUCUUCUCAGAAUGCCUCCUCUACCAACUCCCUGUGAGAGCAAAGUGCAGAGGCCCCACCCCGUCCAGCAGUUUGGCGGAGGGGAGCAGGUUUGGGUUCUGUUCUACCCCACAGCAGCCUCCUGCCUCCUGCGGGCCUCGGCCCUCAGCAGCCUGCCCAGGCAGAUGGGUGCUCGUCACCCCAUCUCCUUGCUCCUUUGGUUCAGAGGGCCUGGGUGUUCUCCUGACGUUGGUUUUAAGCAGCCCCUGGUCGCAGCCAGGGAGUCCUGCCUCAGCGUGCCCUGCCAUCCUGACUGGCGCUCCUACAUGUGUAAGAGGGAGUCACUUGAUAUAGCACACGUAUGUCCACUGCUCUCAGCUCAGCUUCCUGCAUUGCUGUGGCACCUGUGUUACAGAUCAGGUGGCCACACACAUAUGGAUCUGUUUCCGGACUGUAUCUCAUGAAGUUAUUUGUCUCGUCUUGCCUUCAUACCAAACUGUAUUACUUACUAUGGCCUAAGAGACCUUGUCUGGGUAGUGUUAGGGACUCUGAAUACUUGUCUCCCCAGAUCCAUAUGUUGAAGCCCUCCUGCCCCCCCCCCCACCCCCAGCAGUGUGAUGAUAUUUGGAGCUGGACCUUUGGGAGGUGAUUAGGUUUAAAUGAGAUCAUGGGGGUGAGUCCCCUGUGAUGGGAGUCAUGCCCUAUACGAGCUGAAAGCCCUUCUGCUGUCUGUAUGUGAGCACAGGGAGAGGGCAGCUGCCCACAAGCCAGGAAGAGGGCCCUCACCAACAACCACACCUAUCGGCACCUUGUUCUUAGACACGCAGCCUCCAGAACUGCUGAAACAAGAAUGCAGUCAAAGGAACCUGACUGUCAGUGACAGGAGAGAAAGAGCUGCAAGCCAAAACAUGCAAAACCAGCCUUUCAUUGAGGAGAAAAUGAAAAAUACAGAAUGAAACGAAGGGGAGUUUCAAGAACUUGCAGGAGCCGAGCUUCCUGUGCAAAUGAGAAGCCCGGGGCAGAUGGCGCCCUCGUUAUCCUCGUUAUCGUCGGUGCCCAUGCUGGUGGAUGCAGACCGGCCGCAGUGCAGAGGGUCCGCUUUCCCGCUGCCGUGGACCCAGAACCGCUUGGUGGCAUCCCAGGUGGGACCUUGGCCGGCACCGCCAUCUGGUGCCCUGGUGCCUGCCCGCCCGUCCAGAGCCCAAAGCCGGUUCUCGC